rnacentral:SRP_RNA from 1 species
UAAGGGUCACCUUGCAACGAUAUGUUGCAAACCCCGCCAGGCCCGGAAGGGAGCAACGGUAGCGAUAGACUCGUGUGCCAGUAAUGGCUUUUGUGA